UCUGCCCCUCCAAGCCCACAGAAGUGUGGAAGUGGCCGGGUCAGCCAACAUUAGCACCCGGUCACCUCACUCUUGGAACAGGGCUCCCGGUGGAGGAGGCCCAGUGCUGGCUCAGCCGGGUUGGAGCUCCUGACAAGGGGGUUCACCACCUUGUGGCUGGACAGAUGUGUUUUCUGAUGGCUCAGCAGACCGAGUGCCAGCCCUCUGCUGGGCCCCGGGCGACCCCACAGUGACGCAGGGAAAGCCCCGCUCUUGCAGCUCACGGGAAAGAGCAGACACCAUCGUGUCAACUCCGCAGCCUUGUUCUUCAGGCCUCUCCUCCAACUCUAUGCUUACACUGCCGAGAACGCUGCCCCCUCGCAGACCCUCACCGUACCAUCCUGUCCCUGCCCUUGCCCCGCGGUAUCCAAUGUCACACCAGAGGGAUUCAGUCACAAUGCCAGGGCCUCGGUGCCUUCCUGGCACAAGAAGUGGUUGAUGGAUGGACAAAGACCUCAAGGGGCAGCAGGAAGGGGCCCAUGUAGGCAGCACUGCCCAUCGGGGUGCCCGUAUCCAGAGGACCCUGGAAGCAUCAGCGUCCUCACCCGGUGCAGCCCCAGGAGGGGCCCUAUGGUCGUACCAAGUAUCACCUCACCAGCUUGCUUGCUGUAGGGAGGAACAAAGGAGGCUCGGAACACCCUGGCAGGCUUGCUCCUGGGCUGGGCCAGGGCCACUGGCUGCACCCCUGCACCCUCUGGCAGCUUGCCUCCCAGUUGGGAACAGUGAGGAGCAAGUGCC